rnacentral:rRNA from 1 species
UACGAAGGGGGCUAGCGUUGUUCGGAAUUACUGGGCGUAAAGGGCGCGUAGGCGGACAUCUAAGUCAGGGGUGAAAUCCCAGGGCUCAACCCUGGAAUUGCCUUUGAUACUGGACGUCUCGAGUUCGGGAGAGGUGAGUGGAAUUCCGAGUGUAGAGGCGAAAUUCGUAGAUAUUCGGAGGAACACCAGAAGCGAAGGCGGCUCACUGGCCCGAUACUGACGCUGAGGCGCGAAAGCGUGGGGAGCAAACAGG